CCUACGGGCGGCAGCAGUGGGGAAUAUUGGACAAUGGGCGAAAGCCUGAUCCAGCCAUGCCGCGUGUGUGAAGAAGGCCUUCGGGUUGUAAAGCACUUUCAGUGGGGAAGAAAGCCUUGGGGCUAAUACCCUCGAGGAAGGACAUCACCCACAGAAGAAGCACCGGCUAACUCCGUGCCAGCAGCCGCGGUAAUACGGAGGGUGCGAGCGUUAAUCGGAAUUACUGGGCGUAAAGCGCGCGUAGGCGGUCUGAUAAGCCGGUUGUGAAAGCCCCGGGCUCAACCUGGGAACGGCAUCCGGAACUGUCCGGCUAGAGUGCAGGAGAGGAAGGUAGAAUUCCCGGGGUAGCGGGGAAAUGCGUAGAGAUCGGGAGGAAUCCCAGUGGCGAAGGCGGCCUUAUGGACUGACACUGACGCUGAGGUGCGAAAGCGUGGGUAGCAAACAGGAUUAGAUACCCUAGUAGUC
rnacentral:rRNA from 1 species